rnacentral:rRNA from 1 species
CAGCAGCCGCGGGAAUACGUAGGGUGCAAGCGUUGUCCGGAAUGAUUGGGCGUAAAGGGCGCGCAGGCGGCUGUGUAAGUCCGUCUAGAAAGUGCGGGGCUAAACCCCGUGAGAGGAUGGAAACUGGACAGCUGAGAGUGUCGGAGAGGAAAGCGGAAUUCCUAGUGUAGCGGUGAAAUGCGUAGAUAUUAGGAGGAACACCGGUGGCGAAAGCGGCUUUCUGGGCGACAACUGACGCUGAGGCGCGAAAGCCAGGGGAGCAAACGGGAUUAGAGACCCGUGUAGUCCCUGUCUCUUAUAC